UAACACGUGAGUAACCUGCCCUCUUCUUUGGGAUAACGGUCGGAAACGGCUGCUAAUACCGGGUAUUCACUGUCCUUCGCAUGGGGGGUGGUGGAAAGGUUUUUUCUGGUGGGGGAUGGGCUCGCGGCCUAUCAGCUUGUUGGUGGGGUGAUGGCUUACCAAGGCUUUGACGGGUAACCGGCCUGAGAGGGUGACCGGUCACAUUGGGACUGAGAUACGGCCCAGACUCCUACGGGAGGCAGCAGUGGGGAAUAUUGCACAAUGGGCGAAAGCCUGAUGCAGCGACGCCGCGUGAGGGAUGGAGGCCUUCGGGUUGUAAACCUCUUUCGCUCAUGGUCAAGCCGCAACUGUGGUUGUGGUGAGGGUAGUGGGUAAAGAAGCACCGGCUAACUACGUGCCAGCAGCCGCGGUAAUACGUAGGGUGCGAGCGUUGUCCGGAAUUAUUGGGCGUAAAGGGCUUGUAGGCGGUUUGUCGCGUCUGCCGUGAAAUCCUCUGGCUUAACUGGGGGCGUGCGGUGGGUACGGGCAGGCUUGAGUGCGGUAGGGGAGACUGGAACUCCUGGUGUAGCGGUGGAAUGCGCAGAUAUCAGGAAGAACACCGGUGGCGAAGGCGGGUCUCUGGGCCGUUACUGACGCUGAGGAGCGAAAGCGUGGGGAGCGAACAGGAUUAGAUACCCUGGUAGUCCACGCUGUAAACGUUGGGCACUAGGUGUGGGGGCCACCCGUGGUUUCUGCGCCGUAGCUAACGCUUUAAGUGCCCCGCCUGGGGAGUACGGCCGCAAGGCUAAAACUCAAAGGAAUUGACGG
rnacentral:rRNA from 1 species